GAUGAACGCUGGCGGCGUGCCUAAUACAUGCAAGUCGAGCGAACAGACGAGGAGCUUGCUCCUCUGACGUUAGCGGCGGACGGGUGAGUAACACGUGGAUAACCUACCUAUAAGACUGGGAUAACUUCGGGAAACCGGAGCUAAUACCGGAUAAUAUAUUGAACCGCAUGGUUCAAUAGUGAAAGACGGUUUUGCUGUCACUUAUAGAUGGAUCCGCGCCGCAUUAGCUAGUUGGUAAGGUAACGGCUUACCAAGGCGAGGAUGCGUAGCCGACCUGAGAGGGUGAUCGGCCACACUGGAACUGAGACACGGUCCAGACGCCUACGGGAGGCAGCAGUAGGGAAUCUUCCGCAAUGGGCGAAAGCCUGACGGAGCAACGCCGCGUGAGUGAUGAAGGUCUUCGGAUCGUAAAACUCUGUUAUUAGGGAAGAACAAAUGUGUAAGUAACUAUGCACGUCUUGACGGUACCUAAUCAGAAAGCCACGGCUAACUACGUG
rnacentral:rRNA from 1 species